CUGAGCAGGGGAGCAGGAGAAGGGGGUGAUGAGUGAGGGGUAGAGGGGGCCUGCAGGGAGAGGGAGGGAGGAGGGGGCCGGGGCAGUGUGAGGAGACAGGACCCACGCUCAGAGAAAGGAGGGCUCCAGGAGCAGGUGUCCGUCCCUGGCCGCUGCUCAGGGAAUUGGAGAGUGUCUGCUACUACCCAUGGCCCCAUUUCCCACGGGUUCCCUGUCCUGCGCUGAGGCUUGGGGAAGCCCAGAGGGCCAUGGCACUUUCAUUGUCCCACGGAGUCCUCACAGUAAGCACAUGGUCGUUUCUGUGAGUCUGCAAUUUUAGCACCCUCACCAUGGAGCCAUUCCGCAGCACAUCAUCCAUCAAUCUGCCUUGCUCUGGUUUCUCGGAAUCCUUGGCUCAGGUGAGUACCGGGCUGGGAAUCUGUGCAGCUGGGUAAUGUGGUCAACAGGCGGUUAGAGUGAGAAACUGAGUUAACCAAGUGAUUGGACCUGCCAGGACCCACCUGCUCAUGAGGGCACCUUACUAGAGAAAGAGGGUCCUUCCCUCUCCUAGGUGGCAGGCUCCAGUCACAUGAAGGACAGAGUCAGGCAGGGUCCCUUUCGUUGCCUACUUUCUAACUCACCAUCUUCUUCAACCAUAAAAUUUUCCAUUAACUUUGAACAUGAGUUUCCUCCUUCUUGUAUUUGUGAAGCACGUUGCUUGUUUUGGUUCAGUUUUUGUUUCAUUUUACUUUGUUAGUGUGUUACAUUCGACUCUGAACUCAUUUCCGCUAUCAUCCAACCACAUCUCCGGCUCAUCAAGGCUGUGUCAUAUUCUAAACUCCUGUUUUUCUAGGCCUAUGGCUUGAGUGACUGUCUUGAGAUGAGCUGACAAGUAUGCCAUUUUAAUCAUAACAUCAUGUCAAAAAUGAGAAGGGAGCUUUGUUCUUCCUCAGUGUCACCACAGCUCCGUGACGGAGACCCACCAAGGCAAAGAAAAGGAAGAGGCAAGGAUGUGAGGUCAGCCCAAGUAAACAGGGAAGCACCAUCAACCCAGGUGGGGAAAGACGAGCUAGACCUCUGUAGAAACCAGACAUGCAGUGAAGGCAUGAGGAAAACUCCAGUGGAUUUGGUCACCAUCUGCUAUGACAUGUCGGUGCAGGUGAGCAAGACUAUGUGCUGAGGGACAGAAUGGGAGGGUUGCCAUCCAGAGAAACCCAGGGACAAGCUCGUGGACCAGACCCAUUUAUUACCACUCUUCAUUAACAUCAAGAAGCAGGACCCAGAAGAUGCAUCAGUGGCAGUCUAGAACGUAAGACUGGAGGAUUCCUGUAACAGGCACUGUUGUGUUGUCUGCAGUUAGAACCUCAAGAACAGAAUGUCAGAGUGAGGGGAGCAGGGCAGGAACGGGCUGAUAGAAAUACAGAGUACAAUUCCAUGUCUGCAAAGGUCAAAGUUGUGUAAACUAUACAAUCUAGAAUGGAGAGUACACAUAUUUAUAAGACAACUUUCAAGGAAGGCAAAGGGAAGGUUAAAGACAGACAGCUCAGGAUCCCAGGAUCCUGGGAGGAGACAAAGAGUGGGUGGAAUGGUGGUGGAGGGGACUCAGGGGUCCUCACCAAGAAUCACCCCAUGCUUUCUCUCCUGCCAGGUGGUCCUCCCAGCGUUCAAUAUACCACAAUCAUCUCUGACCUUUAAAAUAUCAUUUUUGUUUCUAAUCAAAAUUUACUCAAAACAAUGAAAAAUAAGACACAUGUGCCUGGGUCUCUGCAAACAACUUUCCCCACCUCUUUCCAUCCUUUGUCUUUGCCUACCCACUUGGGACAGGAUCAAACCAGCUGGUAUGGAAGCAUGAGUCUCUUGCAUUAUCCUCCAAUAAAAUGUGUUUAUUUUUAAUUAUUUUAAUCA
rnacentral:lncRNA from 12 species